UACGUAGGGGGCUAGCGUUGUCCGGAAUCAUUGGGCGUAAAGCGCGCGUAGGCGGCCAGAUAAGUCCGGUGUGAAAGUCAAAGGCUCAACCUUUGAAUGCCGCUGGAAACUGUCUGGCUUGAGUCCGGAAGGGGCGAGUGGAAUUCCUGGUGUAGCGGUGAAAUGCGCAGAUAUCAGGAGGAACACCAAUGGCGAAGGCAGCUCGCUGGAACGGUACUGACGCUGAGGCGCGAACGCGUGGGGAGCGAACAGG
rnacentral:rRNA from 1 species